UACGAAGGGGGCUAGCGUUGCUCGGAAUCACUGGGCGUAAAGCGCACGUAGGCGGCUUUUUAAGUCAGAGGUGAAAUCCUGGAGCUCAACUCCAGAACUGCCUUUGAUACUGGAGAGCUUGAGUCCGGGAGAGGUGAGUGGAACUGCGAGUGUAGAGGUGAAAUUCGUAGAUAUUCGCAAGAACACCAGUGGCGAAGGCGGCUCACUGGCCCGGUACUGACGCUGAGGUGCGAAAGCCAGGGGAGCGAACGGG
rnacentral:rRNA from 1 species